GAACCUGGGGCGUGCUUACCAUGCAGUCGAACGAUGAAGCCCAGCUUGCUGGGUGGAAGAGUGGCGAACGGGUGAGUAACACGUGAGUAACCUGCCCUUCACUCUGGGAUAAGCGCUGGAAACGGUGUCUAAUACUGGAUACGACCCUUACAGGCAUCUGUUGGGGGUGGAAAGAUUUAUCGGUGAAGGAUGGGCUCGCGGCCUAUCAGGUAGUUGGUGAGGUAACGGCUCACCAAGCCGACGACGGGUAGCCGGCCUGAGAGGGUGACCGGCCACACUGGGACUGAGACACGGCCCAGACUCCUACGGGAGGCAGCAGUGGGGAAUAUUGCACAAUGGGCGAAAGCCUGAUGCAGCAACGCCGCGUGAGGGAUGACGGCCUUCGGGUUGUAAACCUCUUUUAGUAGGGAAGAAGCGAAAGUGACGGUACCUGCAGAAAAAGCACCGGCUAACUACGUGCCAGCAGCCGCGGUAAUACGUAGGGUGCAAGCGUUGUCCGGAAUUAUUGGGCGUAAAGAGCUCGUAGGCGGCUUGUCGCGUCUGCUGUGAAAACCCGGAGCUCAACUCCGGGCCUGCAGUGGGUACGGGCAGGCUAGAGUGCGGUAGGGGAGAUUGGAAUUCCUGGUGUAGCGGUGGAAUGCGCAGAUAUCAGGAGGAACACCGAUGGCGAAGGCAGAUCUCUGGGCCGCUACUGACGCUGAGGAGCGAAAGCAUGGGGAGCGAACAGGAUUAGAUACCCUGGUAGUCCAUGCCGUAAACGUUGGGAACUAGAUGUAGGGCCUGUUCCACGGGUUCUGUGUCGUAGCUAACGCAUUAAGUUCCCCGCCUGGGGAGUACGGCCGCAAGGCUAAAACUCAAAGGAAUUGACGGGGGCCCGCACAAGCGGCGGAGCAUGCGGAUUAAUUCGAUGCAACGCGAAGAACCUUACCAAGGCUUGACAUAUAGAAGA
rnacentral:rRNA from 1 species